GAAGCAUGACCAGAUUAUGAAUUCUGUUUGAUUAGAUUGGAUGCAUUCUGUCAGAAGUAUUAGAUGUUGAUCUGGAGAACCUGAGGGAAGCAAUCAUGAAAGCUAGCAAGAGCGAUGUACAGUUCAUCAUCAUGGGUAGUAGCAAAAUAUCAAGUAGACACAAGCUUGGAUCGUUGCAGGAACCACUGAAGGCAUAGACGAUAAUAGCUAUUCUUCAUUGCAUCAAUGGACACAACUGAAUGUUACAUUUGUCGGAAAGCACUGUAGAAUAUUGCCAUUGUCAUCAGAUCAUUUUGUUUCGGACAAGUUUCGACAUAUUUCAAACUAAUUGGCAAGUAAAUUGAAUAAUGGAUGAACAAGUGAAAUUCGUAAAUGGUGUGAUGAAGCAACAACACAUUUGCUUUUUGCCGGAGCUGAUAUUAUCUUGUGCCAGUCUUUUCAUGAUCCUGUUCUGCAAGUUCCACUAAAGGCCUUAAAGUACGAAACUGCUCCAAUUGCAUUAAACUCCUCCCAUGACAACUUCAGGAACUUCGCAUAACAUGACUACGAGACCACUAAUUUCUCACGUUUCAUCAGCUCUACAUUUGGAAAUACGUCGAUAAGCAAAGCGCUAGAUGUCCGAAUUAGA